CCCUUAGAUGUUCUGGGCCGCACGCGCGCUACACUGAUGCAUUCAACGAGUCUAAAACCUGCUCUGAUAGGGGUGGGUAAUCUUUUGAAUGUGCAUCGUGAUUGGGAUAGAUGAUUGCAAUUUUUCAUCUUCAACGAGGAAUGCCUAGUAAACGCAAGUCAUCAGCUUGCAUUGAUUACGUCCCUGCCCUUUGUACACACCGCCCGUCGCUCCUACCGAUUGCAUGAUCCGAUGAAUAUCAUGGAUUGAGGAUGCAAGUAGGUUCGCCUAUCUUCAUCUUCGAGAAGUGAAGUAAAUCUUAUCAUUUAGAGGAAGGAGAAGUCGUAACA
rnacentral:rRNA from 1 species